rnacentral:lncRNA from 1 species
AUAAUGUUUCAAAGUCAUAACUUUAAAGAAGAAGUAUUCUUUUCAUUUCCAAAAUUAAUAUAUCAUAUAUAUUUAAAUUUUAGGAACAUGAUUAACUCCCAUAUACAUUGUAUCUUCAUAUAAUGUUUUAAAGUCAUAACUAUAAUGAAGAAGUAUUCUUUUCAUUUCCAAAAUUAACAUAUCAUAUAUAUAUUUAAAUUUUAGGAACAUGAUUAACUCCCACUAACCUUUUGUAAACCUAGUAAACAAAAGAUUCAUUUACAUCUUUAUGAGAAAUCAAACGAUUUGAUCCUUUUCUCAUAAGAUGCUUAUAGCUCUCACUAGCUUGCUAAGAUUCAUGAUGGAUGGAUCUCUACAACUUACAUGUCUUGUGAUUUAUAGUUUUGGACAUAUAUUAUCAAGACUAUCUUAAUAAUGGUUUCGGAAACCCAUAUAAUGUCCAAACAUUGAAUCACAAUUUAGUUGUAGCUAGCAAUCUUCGAAUUAAUUGAAACCUAGACUAUCUCAAAGAUGGUUUCUUCAAAGUCAACCAUUCUCUUUGAUUGUAGUCACCUUAAGCUACCAAUUAGCUUAUGAAGGUUUCAUUAUUUCGGGUCAAAUGGUACUUUACCAUUUCCUUGAGUAUAUAUCGUAUAUACACUCAAUGUAGUCAUAAGGAUUUUCAUUCUUAUUUCUUUCGAAUUAAGAGGUGCAACUCUAUGACAUAGUCAUAAAGUUCAAACCAUUCAACUGAGAUAGUUUAUAAAUCCUUCUCGACUACCUUGGAGCCUUUGGUAUAGGAACUAGGUUGUUAUAUUUGUUGAUUACUUUCUUGUCUCUCAAAGAACCCAUCCUUUGAGUUUUAUCUCUCGUUCAUUAGCUCUUAGGCAAAUCACAUUGUAGGAUUACAAUGAACUACCCAACAAAACAACAUUUGUUAGUUGGUUUAUAGAAGCGAUAUCCAAAAGUUAAUUUAAGGAUAUCCCACAAGAUUGUUAUCAAACAAAUAUUGCUAAUUAGCACACAACCCCAAAUCUUAACAUGCUUAAGAUUUGUCUUUCUUUCCAACUACAUCUUAUGGAGUCAUGAAAAUUUUGGAAGAUCUUCUAAUUGACAAUCAUAUUGUUUUUAGAAGUAUAUAUCCUAUAUAUGGGUAAUAGAUAACAUCCAACGAACUAAAUCUUAUUUAAGUUCGUUCUUCUCCUUAAUGGAGAAAUUUAUUAUCUUAUGAUGCUUCUUUCCUUGAUAUCUUUCAAGGAAACUCAUCUAAAGUGUUACUUUUCCUUGGAUCAAAUCUAAGGAGGUAAAUACUUUAGACGUCUUACUCAUUAACUUACAUUUCUUGAAUUCUUUGAAACCUUUUGCAAAGUAUUCGGACUUGUGUUUAUUCAAAAUAAACUAUAGUCCAACCGAGAGUGAUCUUCGGUGAAUGUCAUACAACAUGAGUAGUAUUAUGUUUGUGGACAAGUGCCACUAACAUCUAAGUGAAUUAACCUCAACAAUUUUGUGAUUCUUUCUUCUUUCCAAAAGAAUAAAGAUUCGAACAUUUCGCCUCUAUACAAUUUUAACAAGAAGGUAUUGGAUCCGGAUCUAACGAUCCAAAGCAUCCAUUUUUCACCAACUCAUAAGUUAUGUUUUAGAGGUAUCACAACUCAGUUGGGAUUAGUCACUACCUUGCAACCUUUUGGGUUUUAAGCAUCAUUAUAUUCUAAACAAUUAACACUACCAUAUCAUCUCUACUAUAGAGACAAUCAAUUAGAUUACUAUAAUCCAAUCAUUGAUUAAUAAAGAACAAUGUUUUGUCAAACAAAGCAUUCAUCCAUCUCUACUAUAGUGACGGAAUUAAGUUCCUUAAAAUUGGAAUGUAAAGACUAUCUUUGGUUUUUCCAAUUUCUUUGGUAGUUCAUAUGAGGAAGUAAGUACUAUCUUCUUUCGCAGAGAUCUAUAUUUUAUUCCCGUUCCGAAUGUGAAGCACCUUUUUCUUCUCUCAUAUAUCUUUUACUUCUUAUUAGUAACACUUUUACAACGAUUGUAAAACAUAGUUACUAAUACGGAAUCAAGCAUUCAAGUAGAAGAACCAACUGUUUUGAACUAUUCAAGAACAAUUUACAACACCUUCGAAAGGUGUGUUCUUGACACUUGCAAGACAUUUCUUGCAAAUACCCCUUCCAAUGUCCAUACUUUUAUAAAGAAAGUUUGUUCCCUUGGAGUUAAUUUUUAUCUUCUUCAUUUGACUUUCACCUUUGACUACAAUAGUCAUGGUCCCUAAACUCCCACUAUCUCUCUUGAAACCUUUUUCAAUUGUGUUAUACACAUCAAACAUUUCGGAGAGCAUGUGGUUAUAGUUCACUACAUAGUUUACAAUAAACUUAGUGAACCAUUAGGAUAGGGAUAUAAAGGUGAAGUCCUAGCCUAGUUUCCGUCUCGUUAAGUGGUUUUAACACUUCAACACUCAAUGAUUCAAAAUCAUCAUAAGUCCAUGUUGAUGGACUCUUUUUGUCAACCAACCAUUAUGUUCUAAACAUAAUUACAAACUUUCAAGAGUUGUUCAAGGCAACUCUCAUUUCUUCAUACAACAAUUUGUAAGUGAAGAAUCAUGGCACAUAAAGUGUCAUGCAUUUGUGUCCCAAAGGCCCUUGUGCUUACUUCUAAAGUUCUUGUUCAUGUAACAAAGAACAAGCACUAAGCACUAAUGUUUGCAUUGAUUAAGGGUUGUUCAAAGCAACUCUUAUUUCUUCAUACAACAAUUUGUAAUUGAAGAAUUAUGACAUUAAAAGUGUUGUCCUCUUUAUGAUAGACAUUAUCUAACAUGUUCUUCCAAUGAUACAUUAUCAAUAGGAAGAUUGUGAGGAUGAGACUACUUAGGUACUUCUACAAUCCAUUUAAGACAAUCUUUGGGAUUGUUGUACCAUGUCCGGAAACUAAAGCAUUCGGCUUUUCUUUUUCAAGUUUUGGAUAACGUUUGCAAAUAUAUUGGUAAACAAAUACAUAACGAAUAUAAAUUGAUUGAUUUUAAGCCAUUUGAUUUGGGUCUUUAAAUCACAUAGCACCACCCACUAUUUUUGGCAAAUUCCAUAUCCCUCAUUGGAAUUCGAGAGUUUUGGAGGAAACUCUUAGUAGGGUUAUGGGAGACUCACUACUACCAAGCCCACCUCAGAAUUAUAUCAUGUUGGCUAGCGUUAAUAAUAAUGAGAGAGUACGCUUACUCAUUUGCAUCUCUUGCAAGUACCCAUCUUAUUUGGCUUCUAGAGAAUGAUUGCCUCAGAAUUAUAUCAUGUUGGCGUCAUUGCACUUAGUUAAGUCAUUCCCACCAUACCUAGUUCGUGUAGGGGUUCAAGCAUAGCCUUAAAGUUAUAUCAUGUUGGCUAAACUCGUUGCCUACCUCACUUCAUCAUGUAUGUGUAUAGAACUCCUCCUGAGUGUAAGCACGCACUUUGUACUCCCCCAUUAUAGGGUGAAGCCGGUGUACGAGUCACAAACGAUCGGAGCCUACCAUGGUGGAAGGCCACGAAAGAGUGUUCAAAGCACUCUCACGCUUAUCAACUUAAUAAUGGUUUGGUUGAGGGUUUUUAGGUCUCAUCACACAUAAAUAUUCAUUUUAAUCUUUAUUAAAACAAUUUUGGUCCUAUUACAACUAUUGGUCCAUUUGAUUGUUUUAGUUGUAUAUAAUACUCCCACUAUGCUUAUAAAACGGUUUUUAAAGCAAGAGUAUAUGAUACUACUAACAUAAACUUUGCAUUCAUUUGGUGGACUAUAUAGUUGCCUUAGGGCCUUAGGAUGACUAUGAACCUUUGUUUAGAUUCAACACGAGCCUUUUGUUGAAUCUCGGUCUAGGGAUGGAGAUUGAUUUUAGUUACGCGUUUAAUCACAUUAAGGCGUGUUGUCUUAGGGGCAUUGGACCCAACUACUUCAUUUUCAUGCAUAUCAAAUAAAGCAAGAAAGAAGUACUUCAAAGUAAAGGUGAGCUUA